rnacentral:rRNA from 1 species
GACUAACGCUGGCGGCGUGCCUAAUACAUGCAAGUAGAACGCAGUUGCGAACGGGUGAGUAACGCGUAGGUAACUGCCUCAUAGCGGGGGAUAACUAUUGGAAACGAUAGCUAAUACCGCAUGCUGUGAGAUGGACCUGCGUUGUAUUAGGUAGUUGGUGAGGUACAGGCUCACCCAGGCGACGAUAGAUAGCCGACCUGAGAGGGUGAUCUGCUACAAUGGGAGUGAUACACGGCCCAGACUCCUACGGAAGGCAGCAGUAGGGAAUCGUCGGCAAUGGAAGGAAGUCGGACCGAGCAACGCCGCUUGAGUGAGGAAUGUUUUCGGAUCGUAAAGCUCUGUUGUUAGAGAAGCGGUACCUAACCAGAAAGGCACGGCUAACUACGUUCCAGCAGCCGCGGUAAUAC